rfam:Halococcus saccharolyticus DSM 5350 contig_2, whole genome shotgun sequence.
GCCGGUGUAGCUCAGACUGGCUAGAGCGAAUCCUUCGUAAGGAUUAGGCCGGGGGUUCAAAUCCCCCCACCGGCU